AGGUUUCUGCUAAGUCGCAAGACGAUGUAUAGGAGCUGACGCCUGCCCGGUGCUGGAAGGUUAAGGGGAUCUGUUAGAGCAAUCGAAGCAGUGAACUUAAGCCCCAGUAAACGGCGGCCGUAACUAUAACGGUCCUAAGGUAGCGAAAUUCCUUGUCGGGUAAGUUCCGACCCGCACGAAAGGCGUAACGAUUUGGGCACUGUCUCAACAACAGACUCGGUGAAAUUGUAAUACCGGUGAAGAUGCCGGUUACCUGCGACAGGACGGAAAGACCCCAUGGAGCUUUACUGUAGCUUGACAUUGAGUCUCGGUGCUACAUGUACAGGAUAGGUGGGAGACUAUGAAGCAUGGACGUCAGUCUGUGUGGAGUCAUCCUUGGGAUACCACCCUUGUAGUACUGGGAUUCUAACCAGAGGCCAUGAAUCUGGUCUUGGGACACUGUCAGGUGGACAGUUUGACUGGGGCGGUCGCCUCCCAAAAAGUAACGGAGGCGCUCAAAGGUUCUCUCAGUACGGUCGGAAAUCGUACGAAGAGUGUAAAGGCAAAAGAGAGCUUGAUUGCAAGACAUACAGGUCGAGCAAGGACGAAAGUCGGACUUAGUGAUCCGGUGGUUCCGCAUGGAAGGGCCAUCGCUCAACGGAUAAAAGCUACCCUGGGGAUAACAGGCUGAUCUCCCCCAAGAGUCCACAUCGACGGGGAGGUUUGGCACCUCGAUGUCGGCUCAUCACAUCCUGGGGCUGUAGUAGGUCCCAAGGGUUGGGCUGUUCGCCCAUUAAAGUGGUACGCGAGCUGGGUUCAGAACGUCGUGAGACAGUUCGGUCCCUAUCCGUCGCAGGCGUAGGAAAUUUGAGGAGACCUGUCCUUAGUACGAGAGGACCGGGAUGGACGUACCGCUGGUGUACCAGUUGUUCUGCCAAGGGCAUGGCUGGGUAGCUAAGUACGGAAAGGAUAAGCGCUGAAAGCAUCUAAGCGCGAAGCCCACUUCAAGAUAAGAUUUCCCACCGCAAGGUUAAGAUCCCAGGAAGACUACCUGGUUGAUAGGUCAGAGGUGUAAGUGCAGUAAUGUAUUUAGCUUACUGAUACUAAUAGAUCGAGGACUUGACCAA
rnacentral:rRNA from 1 species